rnacentral:lncRNA from 10 species
CAGCCCCCAGAACUGUGAGCCAAACAAACUUCUUUUGUUCAUAACUUCCCCAGUCUGUGAUAUCCUGUUACAGCAGCAGAAAAUGGACUAAGACACCCAGGGAUGUACCUGGAACCUGGAAAAAGGAACUCAGUGUUGUAAAGAAGUCUGAGGGGAGCACUUUCAGUCUAAUCAGAUCUAAGCAUCUUUUGGAGCUGUUGGAAGGUAGCUAGAGAAGAGCUCAUCACAGCAGUAUAAGGACAAUCUCUGCUCUUGUACGCUCGGGGCAGAUCUGCAUCACGGGCUUGCAUGUCCAAUUUCACCUUGGCACUUGCUUCUCCGAGGGUCUGGACAUGGGGCUUCGUUUGAGUCUGGAAGCAGUGGAGAGGGGCCAGAAGCUCCAGGCCUUGGCUUGGAGAUCUCUACAGGUGUGCAUGGAGAUGUUUGAAGUGCUAAUGGCUGAGACAGAGCAAGUGGCAGAGGCCUAGGAGACGGAGGCUGAAAGAGUCUGAGGAGGAAAGGAGGCACUGAGGGACUCACAUGAAGCUACUCUGUCAGCAUUCUAAAACUUCUGACAUUCUUUUCUAUGAAGAUAAUUGAAUCACCAAAUUUGAUGAAAUGUUCCCCAAAUAUCAGG